GAUGAACGCUAGCGGCAGGCUUAAUACAUGCAAGUCGUGGGGCAGCAUGAGUAGCAAUACUUGAUGGCGACCGGCAAACGGGUGAGGAACACGUACACAACCUUCCUUCAAGCGGGGAAUAGCCCUGAGAAAUUUGGAUUAAUACCCCAUAAUAUAUUUGAUAAGGCAUCUUAUUAAUAUUAAAGCUUCGGCACUUGAUGAUGGGUGUGCGGCUGAUUAGAUAGUUGGCGGGGUAACGGCCCACCAAGUCUACGAUCAGUAGCUGAUGUGAGAGCAUGAUCAGCCACACGGGCACUGAGACACGGGCCCGACUCCUACGGGAGGCAGCAGUAAGGAAUAUUGGACAAUGGACGAAAGUCUGAUCCAGCCAUGCCGCGUGAAGGAUUAAGGUCCUCUGGAUUGUAAACUUCUUUAUAUGGGACGAAAAAGGGCAUUCUUGUUCACUUGACGGUACCAUAUGAAUAAGCACCGGCUAACUCCGUGCCAGC
rnacentral:rRNA from 1 species